UACUGUCAGAUUAUGGUAAAAACUUAUAGAAGGAUGCAAACUCCCCUUGGGAUUGACAUCAUUUUCCCUACACAUUAGGCAUCGAUCCAUCAAUUGGGAGAAUGUUCCAUAGGCAAAUCUUUCUCAAACAGAACUUGCUGUACUAGGGUAUGAUGCAAUUUCAGAUCAAAAUUGUCAGGAUCAUUAAAUUUUCCCGGAAAAGGUGAUCUAGCUGCAGUGAAAGAGGGAUGUUUUCUUGAAGAUAGCCUUUCUCUUGUACCAUAAAUGCUUGAAAUUCUAACACAUUUCUUUUUUGUUUCUAACAAACUCAAAGUUCAGAAAUACUGCCUCCUUUGGCUCUUCACCAGGUCAAUAGUUAAUAACCCAGAAGAGAGUUGACUAAUUGUCUAAUAGUAGCUAUGAGGAAGUGUCAGAGGUGGCAUUUUUCCAUGAUUGAGAGGCCAAGAUUAUGAAUCCCUUUUCUGAGAUACAUAUACAUAUUUUGCAUUCCCUCUUACCAGUACAGCACUUUAACACUCAAUGCCGCUUCGCAGUCACUGAAAAUGCUUAGUCUGCCUAACCAUGUGCAAAGGAAAUUAUUUCCAAUUUUCCAUUCAAAGAGCACAAUCAAACUAGCAGUUCCAAUGUGCUAAAAGAAGACUAGUGGACUAAGCCCAAUAUUUGCUUAAGAUGUAUAACCAGAUUUUUUCAUUGACUUGCAUGACCGUGCUGCACGUUGUUUUUCGAAGAUGCGUCAUAAUGUGGCGACAAUUCCUCUAUUCAGGUCAUGAUAACCAGUGACAAGACUAGGAGUCUUUCUUCCUGAGGUGUCACCAAGUCAUCAAAAAGAGCAAGUCAUAUAAACAUGUUCUAUAUUCAAACUCCAUUAUUUGAAAAAGGAGAGUUGGGUGAACUACUGGGUCUUCAACUGUUAAGCGAAGUCACAUGAUGGUGGAACAGCGUGUUGAAAAGGGUGAAGAAUAUCUUUUAACAAUAAAAGGCUAUUUGCCGGUGGAGUGUAUCUUAAAGAAUUACGUAUCGAAGUAGAUGAGCAUCAUGUGGCGCUGAAUGAGGAGUAAACUAAUAUAUAUAUAUAUAUAUAUAUAAAUAUUCAUGUGUUUCGUGAAGAACACUCUUCACUUGCCAGAGUUAUUAGAUUUCAUUUCCUAGGAUGACAAGAGAGCAUGUAUUUCUGUCAAUUUCUUGGGCCAAUUUGCAGAGAAGAUACAGAAUUAGGUGAACAGAAUUAACAUACGAUGAAGCUUUUAUCUCAUAAUCAUAGGAAUGGGAUUGUUUAGAGUUGUUGAACUGUAAAAGUAGAGUUCAAUGAGUGUGCCUCUGAGCAUCCAAUACAAUAUAUACCCCCCCCACCAUGUGGCUUUUUGAUCAA